rnacentral:misc_RNA from 1 species
GAUGAAGAACGUAGCGAAAUGCGAUAAGUAAUGUGAAUUGCAGAAUUCAGUGAAUCAUCGAAUCUUUGAACGCACCUUGCGCUCCUUGGUAUUCCGAGGAGCAUGCCUGUUUGAGUGUCAUUAAUUUCUCAACUUCAAUAGCUUUUGCUAUUUAAGCUUGGAUGUGGAGGUGUGCAGGUCUACGUUCGCGUGGUCUGCUCCUCUGAAAUGUAUUAGUGGGUUAGGCUCCUAAUCUAUUGGUGUGAUAAUUAUCUACGCCGUGGACUAGGAUGCUUGUAUAGACUCGCUUCUAACCGUCCGCAAGGACAACUUAUGACAAUUUUGACCUCAAAUCAGGUAAGACUACCCGCUGAACUUAAGCAUAUCAAUAAGCGGAGGA